rnacentral:rRNA from 1 species
CCCAGACUCCUACGGGAGGCAGCAGUGGGGGAUAUUGCACAAUGGGGGGAACCCUGAUGCAGCGACGCCGCGUGGGUGAAGGAGCACCUCGGUGCGUAAAGCCCUAUCGGCAGGGAAGAAACAGACGGUACCUGACUAAGAAGCCCCGGCUAACUACGUGCCAGCAGCCGCGGUAAUACGUAGGGGGCAAGCGCUAUCCGGAUUCACUGGGUGUAAAGGGAGCGUAGACGGCGACGCAAGUCUGGAGUGAAAGCCCGGGGCCCAACCCCGGGACUGCUCUGGAAACUGCGGCGCUGGAGUACGGGAGGGGCAGGUGGAAUUCCUGGUGUAGCGGUGAAAUGCGUAGAUAUCAGGAGGAACACCGGUGGCGAAGGCGGCCUGCUGGACUGCGACUGACGUUGAGGCCCGAAAGCGUGGGGAGCAAACAGGAUUAGAUACCCCAGUAGA